rnacentral:rRNA from 1 species
CAGCAGCCGCGGGAAUAUGUAGGGUGCGAGCGUUAAUCGGAAUUACUGGGCGUAAAGCGUGCGCAGGCGGUUAUAUAAGACAGAUGUGAAAUCCCCGGGCUCAACCUGGGACCUGCAUUUGUGACUGUAUAGCUAGAGUACGGUAGAGGGGGAUGGAAUUCCGCGUGUAGCAGUGAAAUGCGUAGAUAUGCGGAGGAACACCGAUGGCGAAGGCAAUCCCCUGGACCUGUACUGACGCUCAUGCACGGAAGCGUGGGGAGCAAACAGGAUUAGAUACCCCAGUAGUCCCUGUCUCUUAUCC